UUGCUUUGGCAGGAAAGGUGCUAAAAGUGGAACAAAAAUACAGAGGUUAGCAUGGCCCCUGUCAAGGAUGACAUGCACAUGGGUGAAGUGUCUUAUUUUUCA